rnacentral:rRNA from 1 species
GAUGAACGCUGGCGGCGUGCCUAAUACGUGCAAGUCGAACGAAGAUCUAGCUUGCUAGAUCUUAGUGGCGAACGGGUGAGUAAUACAUAAAUAAUCUGCCCAUAUGACUGGGAUAACUAUUGGAAACGAUAGCUAAUACCGGAUAGGUUGAUUGGAGGCAUCUCUGAUUAAUUAAAGUAGGAUUUCUACACAAAUGGAUGAGUUUAUGGCGCAUUAGUUAGUUGGUGGGGUAACGGCCUACCAAGACGAUGAUGCGUAGCCGACCUGAGAGGGUGACCGGCCACACUGGGACUGAGACACGGCCCAGACUCCUACGGGAGGCAGCAGUAGGGAAUUUUCGGCAAUGGGCGCAAGCCUGACCGAGCAACGCCGCGUGAGUGAUUAAGGCCUUCGGGUUGUAAAGCUCUGUUGUAAGGGAAGAACAUUCAGGAUAGGAAAUGAUCUUGAACUGACGGUACCUUACCAGAAAGCCACGGCUAACUACGUGCCAGCCGCCGCGGUAAUAC